GUGCUGUCUUCAGCAGCACAUACACUAACAUUGGAGUGAUACAGAGAAGAUGAUCAUGGCCCCUGUGCAAGGAUGACAUGUAAUUCAGGAAGCGUUCCAUAUUUAA